GGUUGAUCCUGCCAGUAGUCAUAUGCUUGUCUUAAAGACUAAGCCAUGCAUGUCUAAGUAUAAGUAAUAUACCUCGAAACUGCGAAUGGCUCAUUAAAUCAGUUAUAGUUUACUUGGUUGAUACUACUACUUGGAUAACUGUAGUAAUUCUAGAGCUAAUACAUGCACAAAGCCCCGACUUCGCGGAAGGGGCGCACUUAUUAGGUACAAACCCAAUGCGGGCAACCGCUAUUGGUGAGUCUAGAUAAUUCUUACGAUCGUAUGGCCUCGCGCCGACGACCAACCAAUCAAGU
rnacentral:rRNA from 1 species